rnacentral:rRNA from 1 species
UACGAAGGGGGCUAGCGUUGCUCGGAAUCACUGGGCGUAAAGGGCGCGUAGGCGGUGCGUUGCGUCAGAUGUGAAAUCCCCGGGCUCAACCUGGGAAUGGCAUUUGAUACGGGCGUACUGGAAUCCGUGAGAGGUUGGUGGAAUUCCCAGUGUAGAGGUGAAAUUCGUAGAUAUUGGGAAGAACACCAGUGGCGAAGGCGGCCAACUGGCACGGUAUUGACGCUGAGGCGCGAAAGCGUGGGGAGCAAACAGG